GCCUGGUUGGCUCAGUUGGUUAAGUGUCUGACUUCGGCUCAGGUCAUGAUCUCGUGGUUUGUGGGUUCAAGCCCUGUGUCAGGCU
rnacentral:tRNA from 1 species